rnacentral:rRNA from 1 species
CGGGCGACCGGCGCACGGGUGAGUAACGCGUAUGCAACUUACCUAUCAGAGGGGGAUAGCCCGGCGAAAGUCGGAUUAAUACCCCAUGAAACAGGGGUCCCGCAUGGGAAUAUUUGUUAAAGAUUCAUCGCUGAUAGAUAGGCAUGCGUUCCAUUAGGCAGUUGGCGGGGUAACGGCCCACCAAACCGACGAUGGAUAGGGGUUCUGAGAGGAAGGUCCCCCACAUUGGUACUGAGACACGGACCAG